UACGAAGGGGGCUAGCGUUGCUCGGAAUGACUGGGCGUAAAGGGCGCGUAGGCGGAUGGCACAGUCAGAUGUGAAAUUCCCGGGCUUAACCUGGGGGCUGCAUUUGAUACGUGUUGUCUUGAGUUCGGAAGAGGGUCGUGGAAUUCCCAGUGUAGAGGUGAAAUUCGUAGAUAUUGGGAAGAACACCGGUGGCGAAGGCGGCGACCUGGUCCGACACUGACGCUGAGGCGCGGAAGCGUGGGGAGCAAACAGG
rnacentral:rRNA from 1 species